rnacentral:rRNA from 1 species
GACGAACGCUGGCGGCGUGCUUAACACAUGCAAGUCGAACGGUAAGGCCCUUCGGGGUACACGAGUGGCGAACGGGUGAGUAACUCGUGGGUGAUCUGCCCUGCACUUCGGGAUAAGCCUGGGAAACUGGGUCUAAUACCGGAUAGGACCACUGCCUACAUGGGUGGUGGUGGAAAGCGUUUGCGGUGUGGGAUGGGCCCGCGGCCUAUCAGCUUGUUGGUGGGGUGAUGGCCUACCAAGGCGACGACGGGUAGCCGGCCUGAGAGGGUGACCGGCCACACUGGGACUGAGAUACGGCCCAGACUCCUACGGGAGGCGGCAGUGGGGAAUAUUGCACAAUGGGCGCAAGCCUGAUGCAGCGACGCCGCGUGAGGGAUGACGGCCUUCGGGUUGUAAACCUCUUUCAGCAUCGACGAAGCGAAAGUGACGGUAGGUGCAGAAGAAGGACCGGCCAACUACGUGCCAGCAGCCGCAGUAA